rnacentral:rRNA from 1 species
ACCCCGCUGAUUUAAGCAUAUAAGUAAGUGGUGGAAAUUAAACCAAAAUGGGAUAUCUUUAGUAAUUGCGAAUGAACAAGGAUAUGCUUAGCUUGACAAAUGGAGCUAUUGGCUUUGAAUUGUAUUGUGGAAAUGUAUUACCAACAGAGGUGCAGGUGCCAGCCUAUUGAAAUAAAGCGUCAAUGAGGGUGAGAAUCCUGUUUGUCAUGUGCAGCCCUUUGUGCACGGUGUAUAUUUGCUGAGUCACACUCCUUGGCAUUGGAAUGCAAAGUGGGUGGUAAGUUUCAUGUAAAGGUAAACAUGCAAUUGAGACUGAUAGCACACAAGUACCAUGAGGGAAAUAUGAAAAGGACUUUGAAAAGAGAAUUAAAUGAGUUUGUAUUUGCUGAACACAAAGUAAACAGACUUGAUUUGCUUGGUGGGAGUGUUGCACUUGCUUGACAAGAGCUUUGGGCUGUGGGUGUAAUGAUUCUUUCUUUGCAUGCCAGUUUCUAUUUGUACAUCUGAUUACCUUUGCACAUGAAUGAUAAGUCUCCUGUGGGGGGUGGAUUGCAUGUGCAUGUAAUGAUUUGUGUUUUGAUAAAUGUGUCUGGUGUAUGUGUGUGUUCCUGUGCUUGGGGAUGCUUCCUUCCUUGGACUUACAAGCCCUGACACACACAUGCUGGCAAAAUGUGUUCUGCUUGACCCGUCUUGAAACACGGAGCAA